rnacentral:rRNA from 1 species
GACAGAGGGUGCAAACGUUGUUCGGAAUUACUGGGCGUAAAGCGCGUGUAGGCUGUCUCGAAAGUCGGAUGUGAAAGCCCUGGGCUCAACCUAGGAAGUGCAUUCGAAACUUCGAGACUCGAGUCCUGGAGAGGAUCGCGGAAUUCUCGGUGUAGAGGUGAAAAUUCGUAGAUAUCGAGAGGAACGCCGGUGGCGAAGGCGGCGAUCUGGACAGUGACUGACGCUGAGACGCGAAAGCGUGGGGAG